rnacentral:lncRNA from 1 species
CAGGAAGAAGGUAAAGAUGAGCAGAUAGAUGUGUAAGAGGUCUUCGUCCAUCUGACUUUGGACUUAAAAUGCAUGUUGGAGAGAAGAGAAGAGAGGUGUUAAUAACAUACCAUGACUCUACAUUAUUUUCCUUUCAUCUGUGUCCUGGUGUCCUGGGUCCAGGCAGAAAGGUGAAAUAUAUCCUCACCGAUCCGAAGACAGCAGGAUUGGUCUUGGAGUCCAAGUGGUCAAACCCCAUCGCUCUCAUAACACCCGUGCCCAACAGCAUCAUCGAUGACGGGCUCAAGGAGCACUCGGCGGAGAUGGUUGUCAUCACCGUCGUGACCUCAUGGUUGAUGGCAGCCCUGCUGCUGCUGCUGGUUGGCCUGCUGAUUGUGGACCGUUCUGGAGUCAUCAGGAGAAAGAACAUCCCUGUGAUGCUGAAGACAUACAAAAACUUUUUUGGGCAAGCCAUCAGUGAAAAUCAUUUGUAAGAGGAAAAAACGUGUAACUAUGAAAAAUCUUUUAUGGGAUUUUAAGGUGAACUUCAUUAAUUCCCAGCAUGUCUUGCAAAACAAUAUUUUUUUUUUUUUUCUGUUUGCUGCUGCUUGUCUUUUUCAUGCAAGCACCACCUGUUCUGGUGGAUUUUGACUAGAUUUUGAAUUUGAAGUUGGAAAAAAAAGUGGUUUGUAUAGCUGGUUUAACAUCUGCAGCUGUGAACCGUUUAGGGCGGUAAAAUUGUGUUAUACUUUACCGCAGUGCAAUAGGUUACGCGUAGACAAGUUGCGCAAUAAGGUUGAGGUUUGCAGGUUGCCAAACCAACCAGGUUGUUAAAACACCUGAAUAUGAUUCGACAUGCUCCAGUUGUUUUGUCGAAGACAAGAAUGUACCAAUAUGUUUUGAUUGUUUAAUAUGACUGUUGAAAUCCAAUCUCUUAAAAUCUCCCUUUCUAGUCCUGAGAUCUGCUUGUCUUUUGUUCUAUCUAAAACUUUUUGAACUCUUGCACUUCCUAGCAAACUUGCUAAACACCCUGUUGGACAUGGUUAAAAAAUGUGACUGAAAAAUGAAUUAAAUGAAAAAAUCCCCGC